AUUGCGGUUAAUUGGAUUAUGACGUAGUUGUACUGAUCAGAGAUUUUAACACGAAGUGAGUGGCGAACGCAGUGAGUAACACGUGGGUAACCUGCCCAGAAGUAGGGGAUAACACCUGGAAACAGAUGCUAAUACCGUAUAACAGAGAAAACCGCAUGGUUUUCUUUUAAAAGAUGGCUCUGCUAUCACUUCUGGAUGGACCCGCGGCGUAUUAGCUAGUUGGUGAGGUAAAGGCUCACCAAGGCAGUGAUACGUAGCCGACCUGAGAGGGUAAUCGGCCACAUUGGGACUGAGACACGGCCCAGACUCCUACGGGAGGCAGCAGUAGGGAAUCUUCCACAAUGGACGCAAGUCUGAUGGAGCAACGCCGCGUGAGUGAAGAAGGGUUUCGGCUCGUAAAGCUCUGUUGUUAAAGAAGAACGUGGGUAAGAGUAACUGUUUACCCAGUGACGGUAUUUAACCAGAAAGCCACGGCUAACUACGUGCCAGCAGCCGCGGUAAUACGUAGGUGGCAAGCGUUAUCCGGAUUUAUUGGGCGUAAAGCGAGCGCAGGCGGUCUUUUAAGUCUAAUGUGAAAGCCUUCGGCUCAACCGAAGAAGUGCAUUGGAAACUGGGAGACUUGAGUGCAGAAGAGGACAGUGGAACUCCAUGUGUAGCGGUGAAAUGCGUAGAUAUAUGGAAGAACACCAGUGGCGAAAGCGGCUGUCUGGUCUGCAACUGACGCUGAGCUCGAAAGCAUGGGUAGCGAACAGGAUUAGAUACCCUGGUAGUCCAUGCCGUAACGAUGAUUACUAAGUGUUGGGAGGGUUUCCGCCCUUUCAGUGCUGCAGGCUAACGCAUUAAAGUUAAUCCCGCCUGGGAGUACGACGGCAGAUGAACUCAAAGAUGAACGGGGUCCCGCCAACCAAGAGCG
rnacentral:rRNA from 1 species